rnacentral:lncRNA from 7 species
AGAGUGACCGCACAUAGCCGUGUCGCCGACGGCACCGGGGCUCCCCGGGGCUCCCCGAGGAAAAAUGAUUUCUAAACAGCGCUCCUCAAACAAUCAGGUUCCCGCGGAAUUGUUUGCAUACACAUUUCAUUCACGUGCCAUCUACGUGCCUGCAUUUGGAGAACCAUCCCUAAUUAUUUCAGUACACAAAUCCUAAAACAACUGAAGGAAGGAAAGCACUCGGCCACAACAAUGCACAACAAUGAAAGCUUAUGGUCUACUGAAAGAAUAAAUAGAUAUAUACCCUUUCUCAG